AUAAGCAAUGUAAUAAUAAUGCCCAUUGGAAUGAGCAAUCUCGUGGGGAAAAAUAAAACUUGACCUAUAUCCACAAUAACCAGUUUGAAUGGGUCUGAGGAUCAGGACUGGGGAAUGAGACUGAAAGAUGGGCAGCAGAAGUCAGGCUGCAGGUAGAGAUGGUAACAUCCCUGCCCAAGAGCUCCUCUGUAAUGUCUGGCCUCACAUUGAGGAGAGAAGGGUUCUCACGUUGCCUGAGCUGGUGUGGUAAUGAAGAUGGUGAAAGCUGUGCUCACUGUGGGUAGUUGCCUGCGAAGAAAGGGCUGAUUUUGCAAUUGGAUCCUGAAUGUGGAUGCUGCCUCUGUAAGUAGAGGUGUUGUCUAUGAGUGUAUCCAGAAAUGACAAUAAAGUUUCAGACCCAAC
rnacentral:lncRNA from 1 species